rnacentral:lncRNA from 1 species
AAAUGUUUCACUGAUUCUUUCACACUGAUUUGCAUGAUGCCCUUUUUACAAAACAAAAAAAGAUGAAAGAUAUACAACAUACAAGAAAGGGAUAAGGUAGGGAGAGGUGGGGUGUGAAGAUAUGUGAAAGAGAUUGGUUUGUGAGAUUUCAGGCCUCUGUUUGCCACAACUUUGAUUACAAAGUCGUACGUGGAGAACAAAUAUGCUCUCACUUUUGGAUAUGCAACUUUGUGGUUUUCAUAAUUUAAUCACUACGUGUGACUUUUUCUACCAUUCUAUCAUUUAUAUGCUCUUCUGUAAUAUCAUGCGAUUGCAAUUUGGACAUGUUUACCUCUAGCAGCAAAAUAUUUUUAUUCUCUUUUUUGGCCUGAUAUUAUAUGGAUUCUUUGACAAAUUUGCAACCCCGAUAUUGUCCAGAUUUUUACUUAACUCCCAUCCUCUAAGUUAAAAAAAAAAAAAGAAAAAAAAAAGGAGCAUUUGAGCUAUAUCUUUGAGAGGAAAAAAAAAAGAAACUAUAAAUUAGUAUGUGCCUGAGAAUUUACCCAUGCAUCUGAAGUUUUAGAUUUGAUUCCCCUCUCCCAAUAUCAUUUAUAUCAAAAAAAUAAAAAAAUGUGGAUAGGUUUUUCGAUGUGCACUAACAUAUUCAAAAGUCUAUAUUCCAUCCAAAAUUAAGAAAAGAAAUUUCUUUUAAAAAAGUACCAUGAUCGUAUAUUUUGCGUGGACAAUAAUUCAAAAUGAAUACUUUAAAUGCGUGUAAAACCCUCUAGUUCUCCCUUUGUUUUUUAUUUCAAGUUACUUAACGUCAUUGGUCGCCAGUAAUUCAACAUUGCAUUCCGUUGUAGAAUAUUGAUCAACAUGAUAGAAAAAUAGUGAGGAUUAAUAAUAAACUAAACAGAAAAAAACUAAUAAAGUACCAAACCAAUGAGCAAUAUUGCAUAGAAGUACUUUAGGAGCAAUAUAAUGUGAACUGUAUUCUUCCAAAGCCUGACUUAAAAGAUCUAAUCCGACAAUCUUGCCGUAAUGUUUUUGUCAACAUAAUGAAG